ACAAAUGGAAGCCUGGGUGUUUUCUUAGAAUCACCGAGUUUUUAGAGCUGGAAGGACUUUUAACUGUUGCUCCGUUCAACAUCCCCUCCCUGAAUUCAAUUCUUGGCUCUGCCGGCUACGUUACCAUCUGUCGCAAGCAGUUCGCAGCGCCCCCGCUUUUUUUUCCACCGCCCCACGCUUGAGGGAUAAUGCUCACGUGCGAGAUGCAUUACUUCUGCCAGUGAGGUUUUGUGGACGAAAGUGCUGAUUUUGCCGGUGGUUGAAAUCAUCCAGUGACUAGGAGUUCACCAUUUCUGAUGGGAACCAAUGACAACUUUGGACAGUUUUACUGUCAGCAAAUUCUUCCUUUCAUUCAACUGAAAAAUGUCUCUAACCGCAGCUGGUCUAUUACAAUGCUGAGAAGUC